rnacentral:rRNA from 1 species
UACGGGGGGGGCAAGCGUUGUUCGGAAUUACUGGGCGUAAAGGGCUCGUAGGUGGCCAACUAAGUCAUACGGGAAAUCCCUCGGCUUAACCGGGGAACUGCGUCUGAUACUGGAUGGCUUGAGGUUGGGAGAGGGAUGCGGAAUUCCAGGUGUAGCGGUGAAAUGCGUAGAUAUCUGGAGGAACACCGGUGGCGAAGGCGGCAUCCUGGACCAAUUCUGACACUGAGGAGCGAAAGCCAGGGGAGCAAACGGG